rnacentral:rRNA from 1 species
GACGAACGCUGGCGGCGUGCUUAACACAUGCAAGUCGAACGGAAAGGCCCUGCUUUUGUGGGGUGCUCGAGUGGCGAACGGGUGAGUAACACGUGAGUAACCUGCCCUUGACUUUGGGAUAACUUCAGGAAACUGGGGCUAAUACCGGAUAGGAGCUCCUGCUGCAUGGUGGGGGUUGGAAAGUUUCGGCGGUUGGGGAUGGACUCGCGGCUUAUCAGCUUGUUGGUGGGGUAGUGGCUUACCAAGGCUUUGACGGGUAGCCGGCCUGAGAGGGUGACCGGCCACAUUGGGACUGAGAUACGGCCCAGACUCCUACGGGAGGCAGCAGUGGGGAAUAUUGCACAAUGGGCGGAAGCCUGAUGCAGCAACGCCGCGUGCGGGAUGACGGCCUUCGGGUUGUAAACCGCUUUCGCCUGUGACGAAGCGUGAGUGACGGUAAUGGGUAAAGAAGCACCGGCUAACUACGUGCCAGCAGCCGCGGUGAUACGUAGGGUGCGAGCGUUGUCCGGAUUUAUUGGGCGUAAAGGGCUCGUAGGUGGUUGAUCGCGUCGGAAGUGUAAUCUUGGGGCUUAACCCUGAGCGUGCUUUCGAUACGGGUUGACUUGAGGAAGGUAGGGGAGAAUGGAAUUCCUGGUGGAGCGGUGGAAUGCGCAGAUAUCAGGAGGAACACCAGUGGCGAAGGCGGUUCUCUGGGCCUUUCCUGACGCUGAGGAGCGAAAGCGUGGGGAGCGAACAGGCUUAGAUACCCUGGUAGUCCACGCUGUAAACGGUGGGUACUAGGUGUGGGGUCCAUUCCACGGGUUCCGUGCCGUAGCUAACGCUUUAAGUACCCCGCCUGGGGAGUACGGCCGCAAGGCUAAAACUCAAAGGAAUUGACGGGGCCCCGCACAAGCGGCGGAGCAUGCGGAUUAAUUCGAUGCAACGCGUAGAACCUUACCUGGGUUUGACAUGGAUCGGGAGCGCUCAGAGAUGGGUGUGCCUCUUUUGGGGUCGGUUCACAGGUGGUGCAUGGCUGUCGUCAGCUCGUGUCGUGAGAUGUUGGGUUAAGUCCCGCAACGAGCGCAACCCUUGUUCACUGUUGCCAGCACGUUAUGGUGGGGACUCAGUGGAGACCGCCGGGGUCAACUCGGGGGAAGGUGGGGAUGACGUCAAGUCAUCAUGCCCCUUAUGUCCAGGGCUUCACGCAUGCUACAAUGGCUGGUACAGAGAGUGGCGAGCCUGUGAGGGUGAGCGAAUCUCGGAAAGCCGGUCUCAGUUCGGAUUGGGGUCUGCAACUCGACCUCAUGAAGUCGGAGUCGCUAGUAAUCGCAGAUCAGCAACGCUGCGGUGAAUACGUUCCCGGG